rnacentral:rRNA from 1 species
UACGUAGGGCGCAAGCGUUGUCCGGAAUUAUUGGGCGUAAAGAGCUCGUAAGGCGGUCUGUCACGUCGGAAGUGAAAACCCGGGGCUUAACCCCGGGACGUUGCUUUCCGAUACGGGCAGACUAGAGUGUGGUAGGGGAGACUGGAAUUCCUGGUGUAGCGGUGAAAUGCGCAGAUAUCGGGAAGAACACCUGUGGCGAAGGCGGACUCGACUGGCCCGAGUACCUGACGCUGAGGCACGAAAGCGUGGGGAGCAAACAGGG